CCCAAACACAUUGUUACUACUGUUGGGUAAACAGUCAACUAUCUUUUAAUAGAUGUAAAUAAGAAAAAAUACUUUAUGUAUUUACUCAUGUGUAUUGGUCAGAGUUCUCCAAAGAAACAGAGCCAGUAGGGUAUAGUAAAUAUGUUUAUUAUGAGAAAUUGGCUCCGAUGAUUAUGGAGGCUAAGAAGUCCCACAGUCUGCCAUCCACGAGUUGGGAGACCGCGGAAAGCAGUGGUGUAAUUCAGUCCAAGUCCAAAGGCCUGAGAACCAAGGGACCUGGUGUUGUAAAUCCCAAUCUGAGUGCUAGGGAAGAUGGGAUGAGAUGUCUCAGUUCAACCAGACAGGCAGGAAGCAAAAGGGGUGAAUUUUCCUUUCUGCCACACUUUAUUCCAUUUAGGCUCCUAACAGAUUGGAUGAGGCCCAUCCACACUGGGAGGGCAAUCUACUUUACUGAGUCCGCUGAUUCAAAUGUAAUCUCAUUCAGAAACACCCUCACAAACACAUCCAGGAAUAAUGUUUAAUCUGGGCACCUCAUGGCCACUAAGUUGGCACAUAAAAUUAACAAUCAUGCCAUGUAUUACCAUUUUUGGUUCUCUUCAUUUAUUUGUGCAGAUUAAAAUUUUCAUAUAGGGUAUUUUUCUUCUGCCUGAAGAAUUUCUUUAACAUUUUUUGUAGUAUGGAUUUGCUGGUGAUGAACUCUUUCAGCUUCGUAUGUCCAAAAAUGUCCUGGCCAGGCACGGUGGUUCACGCCUGUAAUCCCACCCAGCACUUUAGGAGUCCAAGGCAGAGAGUUGUUUGAGCUCAGGAGUUCAAGAACAGCCUGGGCAACAGAGUGAGACUUCAUCUCAAGGAAAAAAGAAAAAAAGGAAAAAAAUUCUUAUAAAGACAUUUUUACUGAGAGUAGAAUUCUAGCUUUUUUCUUUCAGCACUUUAAAAAUGUUGUUCCACUGUUUUCUGGAUUGCAUUAUUACUGAAGUUAAAUCUAAUGUCAUCCUUAUCGUUGUUUCUCUGUAUAUAAUGUCUUUUUCCUUCUGGUUGCAUUUAAGAUUUUCACUUUAUCACUGAUUUUGAGCAGUUUGAUUAUUGUGUGCCUUAGUGUAGUUUUCUUCAUGUCUCUUCCUUUUUUUUUUGAUAGGGUCUUGCUCUGUCUCCCAGGCUGGAGUACAGUGGUGCGUUCACAGCUCACUGCAGAUUCAAUCUACUGGGCUCAAGAGAUCCUCCUGCCUCAGCCUCCCAAGCAGCUGGGACUACAAGUAUGAGCCACUGCACCUGGCUUCUUCAUGUUUCUUGGGGGUUUGCGCCCCCUUAGUCCAUCUGUACUGGAAGAAGAAAUUCCAGCUCACUGCAGCCUCAACCUCCCGGGCCCACGCGAUCCUUUCUCCUCAGUCUUCCAAGUAGCUGGGAUUACAGGCAUGCGCCACCACGCCUGGCUAAUUUUUGUAUUUUUUGUAGAGAUGGGGUUUUGCCGUGUUGCUCAGGCUGGACUGAAACUCCUGAGCACAAACAGUUCACCAACCUUGGCUCCCCGAAAUGUUGGAAUUACAGGCAUGAGCCUCCCUACCCUGCCAUAAAUUAAUUCCUGUCUUUAAUAGCCUCUCUUGUUCUCCAUUUUCUCUAUUUCUUCUACAAGAUAAUUCUGCAUGUUUUCUAUCAUUGAAUUUUAUACAGUCUGGGAGAAAAGCAAUAAGCC
rnacentral:lncRNA from 1 species